UACAGAGGGUGCAAGCGUUGAUCGGAAUUACUGGGCGUAAAGCGUGCGCAGGCGGUUUUGUAAGCCAGAUGUGAAAGCCCCGGGCUUAACCUGGGAAUGGCAUUUGGGACUGCAAGGCUUGAGUGCGGCAGAGGAGACUGGAAUUCCUGGUGUAGCAGUGAAAUGCGUAGAUAUCAGGAGGAAUACCGAUGGCGAAGGCAGGUCUCUGGGCUGACACUGACGCUCAUGCACGAAAGCGUGGGGAGCAAACAGG
rnacentral:rRNA from 1 species